UACAGAGGUCCCAAGCGUUGUUCGGAUUCACUGGGCGUAAAGGGAGCGUAGGCGGUCUUAUAAGUCAGUGGUGAAAUCUCGUUGCUUAACAACGAACGUGCCAUUGAUACUGUAGGACUUGAGUACAGUUGCCGUUGGCGGAAUGUGUCAUGUAGCGGUGAAAUGCAUAGAUAUGACACAGAACACCGAUUGCGAAGGCAGCUGACGAAACUGUAACUGACGCUGAGGCUCGAAAGCGUGGGGAUCAAACAGG
rnacentral:rRNA from 1 species